CGCUGGUAGAGCAAACAAAAAGUUUUAUUUGUGAAACUUGUUUUACCAUGGGAAAAAAAAAUAAAGAAGCAAUGAGGCAACAUGGGUGGUUUUGCUGUUCUUGCAGCAAAAUAAUAGAUAAACCUAAAUGCAAAGGAGUUUUGUCAAAACCCAAAUUCUGACAGCACACUUUGGCUACACUGAAGCUGAAGGGAAGGCACUGCCGUGUUUUUGGAGACUGUGCGGCCAGCCAGGGCGUCAGCGAGCUAAGAGGACAUUACUUGUUCCAAGUCUCCCGUUCACCAACUGCCGGAGUUGUUACAUCUCUAUCCUGUUUCGCUGGUUCAGCAGGCUCUUCUCCCAUGGGUUCCAGCCUUCAGACUGAAGGAGAAGAGAUUAGAUUAGCCACUCACUCCAGCAAAAUGUCACUUAGAGCUGUUGCUGUUCCAGACAUGAUAAUUGUACCCAUGUGUGCUGUAUGUGGUUCAGUGUCUAUUCCAGUCCCUGUCAUGACAACGAGUGCCUGGAGUUCUGCACACACAGAAAAUCACCUUCCCUGGGACCACAGACUGGAGCUGUGGCUGCUUUCUCUAAUUGCAGCCUAGGCAGUGCCUGCCCUGGGCACCAAGCCCUAUCUAGGUGUGUAACAACAUGACCCUCUCAGAGUGAAGAACCCUUGUCUGGGCAUAUAUGCACGUGGCUUUUGUUAUGAACCUUUCAUCACAUCAUUUAGCUGGCUCUGAAGAGGAUUGACCUGCCUACGUGAUGCAGAAGCUCAGGUUUCCUUCCACGGGGUCAGAAGAGCAAGGAGGGCUGCACGGACCAGCUGAUGCCUGUGCUGGCCAGACUCUCCCAUCUGGCAGAAGUGACUCAUCGGUGGCAUGACCCAGGCGCUCUGGGAGGCUUGUUGAGCUCAGGGGGAGCUUGACUUCAGAUCCUCUACUUCCUUGAAGAUUUGCCUCUGGUCCUUGCCUUACCCCAGCCCUCAUCUGCAUUUGUUAUCCAGCCUGGGCUGAAGCAGUCUGCCCCAGAUGCCUUCCCGUGCCAGUGGCUCCCUUGUUUUAGGGUGUGGGAGCUGCCACUGCAGAGCUCAAGCUGCUGCCUCCACCUGGGGCUCAUUACAUGCUGCUUCCUCUCCAGCUGCCAGGGCCUGGACACAGAGCAGGGAAAUCGCACGCAAGGCGCUUGUAAAACCCUCAGCCCUGUCUGCCAUUGCGGGAAGAGCUGGCUGAGCCUCCCUCCCUGCAGGACGGGCUUCCUGCCCUAGGAAAUCCCCUGCAGCCCAGGAGAUCCACCUUGGGGAUCUCAAACCAUGGCCAGUCAGCACUGGCUGCAUGCAGAACGAUUGCUAUGGGUUUUCAGAAAACCCUAAUAAAACCUUUUGAUUAUACGUAAGAAAAAAACGAAAAAGUGAUCCUGCCUGCUCCCCAGCUCUGUGGUUUGCCUAAACUUACUUCCCUGGAACACACUGGAGUUUGAUCUUUGAGAAAUGAUAUCUAAAAAGCCCACAUGUAAAAACUUAACUGUUCCAGUGAUAGGAUCAUAAUCUGCCUUUGAUCCUGUAAAUUGUUGAACCACAACUCUAUUUGUUGCCCAAGGACUGCAGGAAAUGUACACAGGGUUAUGCAAAUCUCCAGGAGAGGGAAUGUUUGGCAGGGAGGGGGGGAAGAUGGCUCUUGCCACAACUGUCAGUCUCUGGCUUGCAGCUGAAUAGUUUGGCAGUCCCUGCGCUCUCCUGUGUCACCCUGCUGCCAGUUCCCACGGCUCCUACCCCUCUCUGCUCACCGUCCAGUUGUGCAAGUCUGGAGCAGUGAGCUUCUUUCAGAUCUCCCCCUGCGAGCACGUUUACAGGCAGAGUCUGCAAGCUCAGUCCUUCAGCUGUGUUUUUCUCCAAGCACCACUGUGAGUGCAGCAUUUGUGUUUCGCCUCUGAAUCCCCACGACUUUUGCUGGCUGGGGAUGCUUGCAUGGGGUGGGCCAAUCUGAUGGUAGGACACAAAACAAUUUCUUUGGGAACCUUGAGGGGGAUAAGCCUGCACCAGACCCCAGCCAAGGCAGGACAACAGCAACAACACAAGAGGGCCAGCAGAUGGGGAGCUGCCAGGCAGGACUUUAAUUUUGUGUAAAAUGUGAAUUUUCCUCUUUCCCAGACUUGCAAAAAACCAGCCAAAUCCUUAUAAAGAUGUGGGUUGGGUGCAGUGUGGGAGUACAUCCACCAUCAACACCACAUUCAAAACAAGAGUGCUUGACAUCCUCACCAUGGUUCAGGGUGACAGAUCCUGAUAAAAAUG